UUGCGUUAGCGAGGCGUGGACGCGGUGACGAGAGGCUGCCCCUCUAGGGGCUGCCGGUUAGUUAAGAAGCGCUGCGCGAUAAAUCAGUUAAGGCCCGAAUUUAGCUGUCUUCGCUGGUUUUGCUGAAGGCCAACUGAGGAUGUUUUGGCCUGGAAGUCCCAGGAUGUACACACUCUAAUAGAGUGAUGAAGCCUGCGCAGACUUGAGAGUUUUGCUCUGCUCCUGUGGAUUGGCUCUGGGAUCUAGGCUCAAGGAGCAGCCUUUGGAUAUUCUUUUUUCCUGGCAGAAGGAAAAGAGAUGGCAGAACCACAUGAUGACUCUUAGAGCAAGUCUCACGUCAAGCCAGACUCCAGUGAGAUGGGAUGUGUAAUCCUGUUUCAGGGACAUGCUGAAAAGGCAGGUCCUAUUGGUUGGGAAUACUAGUCCCAGCAGUGUGUUUAUUUGAACAGAAACUUCUCACAAUGAAACAAGCAGAGGUGGCAUGGAGCCCAUCAUAAAGACGUGGCAUCGAUACUGGACUUGUUCCUAUGCUGGUGUGUGGCAGAGACCACAUACCUGGUGUGCAGUAAUUUUUCUCAUUGGCAGUAGAAGAAAAAGCCCUGUGAAGUUCAGUACUGUUUGCUGUAAAGAUUAUCGUUGAAGACACAGUUUUCUAGCUUAUAGGAUGUUACCUUGGAGUACCCACAGGGUAAAUUCUCCUGUCUGCACUAAGUCAUGUAACCUCCCCAAUCAGACACCGGGAAUGAGUUUCGUGUCCUCGCUCUCUCUGGUAUAAUCUUAUUUUAUCUACACUCAUUUGUACUUACUUCCUACUUUCCCCAUUAACUUAAUUUUUAUCUUAUUUUUGGCAUUUUUGUAAAUUACCUUAUGUUCUUUUUGGAAUACAAAUUUAUUUAAAUAAAGAGGAUGUUCAAAUUUGAGGAUUCCUUAGUUUCAUGUGCCUUGAGAAGGAAGAGGAAAUGAAGCUGAUAUUUGCAUACUCAGAAAAAUACAUAUGAUAUCCUUUAUAGCAACUUAAAUGUAAUACACUCAUAUUUACAUCAUCACUUAUAUGACAAAGGUUGUAUGUUCUUAGUUCACAUAUCACACAUGCCUCACCUAAAGGGAUCUAAAUUAUCUAGACAGUUACUCUGCAGUG